rnacentral:misc_RNA from 1 species
UUUCCGUAGGUGAACCUGCGGAAGGAUCAUUAUUGAAAGUGAGUCUUGGUUGUAUAGUUGCUGGCCUUUUAACUGAGGCACUGUGCACGUACUCUGGGGCGUAACUCUUCAUCCACCUGUGCACUUUUUGUAGAAGUUCUUUGAUGUUGGCUUAUAGGUCUUCGACCUUGUAGUUGAUUCAAAAGGCUUCUAUGUUUUACAAACUAGUUAAGCAUGUUUAGAAUGUUUUUUACUGGGACUUCGUUGACCCUUUAAAGUUAUACAACUUUCAGCAACGGAUCUCUUGGCUCUCCCAUCGAUGAAGAACGCAGC